CGAGUCGGCCGGGUAAUCGCUGCUUUUGUUUUUGAAGUUCGCUUCAGGGGCAAGGGGGGAGGAAAGUCCGGGCUCCACAGGACAAGACGCCAGGUAACGCCUGGGAGGCGCGAGCCUACGGAAAGUGCAGCAGAGAGCAGACCGCCCAAGCCAGCUUUGGCUGGCCGGUAAGGGUGAAAGGGUGCGGUAAGAGCGCACCGCGCACCUGGUAACAGUGUGUGGCACGGCAAACCCCGUCUGGAGCAAGACCAAAUAGGAACCCGUUGGCGUGGUCCGCGCCGGGUUCGGGUAGGUCGCACGAGGUGCAUGGUGACAUGCAUCCCAGAUGAAUGAUUA
rnacentral:RNase_P_RNA from 1 species